AUGGAGUAUUCAGCCCGCGGUUCGCGUAGGUUUGUAAAGAAAAAAACGACCACAGGAGGACCACGGGCUCGCCUCCUCCCCCUCUCACCCACGCCGCCGCCACCACCCACGCCGGCUGCUUCCGGCGACCUCCGACGCCGCGCAGUACGCCCCCGAGCUCCCCACGGUCCGCGCCUCCGUCCCCUCCGGCCAGAUUCUCCGCUCCGGUCCUCUACCGCCUGCUCGCAACCCCACCCCCGUGGCCAGGGUUUCGGGCAGGGCUUCGCCGGCGCGUCUCCGGCGGACCCAGGAAUUUUUGUGAGUGUCAAGGGGAUAUCUGCCUCGGAAAAUCAGGUUGCUGAAAUCACCAACGAAACUGAUGGUAGGAAAGUAGACCCAAGCAAGACCGAUAUAACCCCCGGAAUGCAGGGUGAGGAGGAACAUAACAAACUCUCCGGGAAGGAAACUGCUCUAUGA
rnacentral:rRNA from 1 species